GACCAGAGGAACUGAUAUUCUGGCCUGAUUUGUUAUUAUGACACUUGAAUGUUUAUCACCUAAAAUUGCUGCCUGUCGGCAGUGUCAGCUUUGUAAUGCUUUGUUAAAUGCAAUGCAGAAACUGAAGAAGUGGUGCUGCACACGUCGAAAAGGCUCAGAAAGCUGCCCUUAGAAAAGGGCAAGAAGAGCACCAAAGGAAUUAUAACUGCCAUGGCCUCUAUGGCACCUUUGUCACAGGAGCAUGUGCCUGAAGAUGGCUUAUGUAGCCAUAUGAAAAGCAUGAUGCCGAAAGACUUUGCUUACAUGGACAUAUUCACUGGAGAGGCCAUCGAUGUUGUCAUCGGAU